rnacentral:rRNA from 1 species
UACGUAGGUGACAAGCGUUGUCCGGAUUUACUGGGCGUAAAGAGCGCGCAGGCGGUCGUUCAAGUCGAGUGUGAAAGCCCCCGGCUCAACUGGGGAGGGUCAUUCGAUACUGAUCGACUCGAAGGCAGGAGAGGGUAGUGGAAUUCCCGGUGUAGUGGUGAAAUGCGUAGAUAUCGGGAGGAACACCAGUGGCGAAGGCGGACUACCUGGCCUGUUCUGACGCUGAGGCGCGAA